rnacentral:rRNA from 1 species
UACGUAGGCAGCAAGCGUUGUUCGGAAUUACUGGGCGUAAAGAGUGUGUAGGCGGUGCUCUAAGUCUGUUGUGAAAUCUCCCGGCUUAACUGGGAGGGUGCGGCGGAAACUGGAGUGCUCGAGUGUGGGAGAGGUAAGCGGAAUUCCUGGUGUAGCGGUGAAAUGCGUAGAUAUCGGGAGGAACACCGGUGGCGAAGGCGGUUCUCUGGGCCUGUACUGACGCUGAGGAGCGAAAGCGUGGGGAGCGAACAGG